GCGUCUUUAGUUCAGUUGGUAGAACAUAGGGUUCAAGUCCUUCAAGACGCG
rnacentral:tRNA from 1 species